UACAGAGACCUCAAGCGUUAUCCGGAUUUAUUGGGCGUAAAGAGCGAGUAGGUGGAUAUGAUAGUCAGAUGUCAAAUCCCCGGGCUUAACCCGGGAACUGCAUUUGAAACGUCAUAUCUAGAGGAAGUGAGAGACCAGUGGAACUCAUGGUGUAGUAGUGAAAUGCGUUGAUAUCAUGGGGAACACCAAAGACGAAGGUAUCUGGUUGGCACUUAUCUGACACUGAGUCGCGAAAGCGUGGGAAUCGAAU
rnacentral:rRNA from 1 species